GGAUGAGAUGGGGGAAACCCUGAUGCAGCGACGCCGCGUGGAGGAUGAAGGAUCUAGGUCUGUAAACUCCUUUUGCACGGAAAGACUUAGGACGGUACCGUGCGAAUAAGCUCCGGCUAACUACGUGCCAGCAGCCGCGGUAAGACGUAGGGAGCAAGCGUUGUCCGGGUUUACUGGGCGUAAAGGGCGCGUAGGCGGACUGUUAAGUGAGUACUGAAAUCUCCAGAGCUCAACCCGGAAACUGGUUCUC
rnacentral:rRNA from 1 species